CACAUGCAAGUCGAACGCUGAAGGCCCAGCUUGCUGGGUUGGAUGAGGGGCGAACGGGUGAGUAACACGUGAGUAACCUGCCCCCUUCUUUGGGAUAACGGUCGGAAACGGCUGCUAAUACCGGGUAUUCACUGUCCUUCGCAUGGGGGGUGGUGGAAAGGUUUUUUCUGGUGGGGGAUGGGCUCGCGGCCUACCAGCUUGUUGGUGGGGUGAUGGCUUACCAAGGCUUUGACGGGUAACCGGCCUGAGAGGGUGACCGGUCACAUUGGGACUGAGAUACGGCCCAGACUCCUACGGGAGGCAGCAGUGGGGAAUAUUGCACAAUGGGCGAAAGCCUGAUGCAGCGACGCCGCGUGAGGGAUGACGGCCUUCGGGUUGUAAACCUCUUUCGCUCAUGGUCAAGCCGCAACAGUGGUUGUGGUGAGGGUAGUGGGUAAAGAAGCACCGGCUAACUACGUGCCAGCAGCCGCGGUAAUACGUAGGGUGCGAGCGUUGUCCGGAAUUAUUGGGCGUAAAGGGCUUGUAGGCGGUUUGUCGCGUCUGCCGUGAAAUCCUCUGGCUUAACUGGGGGCGUGCGGUGGGUACGGGCAGGCUUGAGUGCGGUAGGGGAGACUGGAACUCCUGGUGUAGCGGUGGAAUGCGCAGAUAUCAGGAAGAA
rnacentral:rRNA from 1 species